AUGAAGACUCUCUCCUCUUUUUCGCAGAAAGUAAUAACCUUCCUGACGAUCACGUCUUUUCUAGGAGAAAUAACAGGCGAAACUUUCUUUCAUCGACAAGAACAUGGACAUCCUGCACUUCAGUGCCAUCAGCAAGCUGCUAAAGGAAAAGCAGAAAUAGCUUGGUAUAUAGCAGAUGACGAUCUGCAGCAAUUUAAGUUCAUUAACUGCUCUUCCAAGGAGCCUCGUUCCUCAUGUGGAGAAAGAGGGGGACCUUCAGGCUGCAAUGACACCUUACAAGUGACCCACAUACCCCCUGGGGGAGGGCUGUUUGCAUGUGGAGCAGUUCCUAGUGACAGAACACCAGCAACUUGCCCGCUGUUUCGCAAUGUCUCUCACUGCAGGCACUACAAUUUCUUUCUUACACAGAAAAUUUACCCCACACAAGUUUCAAAAAGCAAGUCCUUAGACAGUGUUCCUGAAACACCAUACAGCAGCCUGGUAUUUGAAGACAACAUCACUUUGUCAUGUGAAUUUGAAGCUAACUGCUCAGGACAAUGUUUUACUCUGUAUUGGAUCAGAGCUGCGAAAACAAGUGAAUGCAUUUUUUCUCUAGCACAUGAGCCUGGAACCCCACGUUUGACUUACAAUGAGCAUUGCUGUAUUGAUGAAGACAUGCAUGGACGAUUAUUGAACACUAGUGACUUUAGUUCAACUGACAAGAAAAGUAACGUGACUAUUCUGAAUGUUACUAGUGCUGACAGUGGAGAAUAUUUAUGCGUUGUUGCUAUCUGGAUAGAUGGCAAACACGUGUGGAGAGUUGCUAAUAACCUGUCUGUGGAAGUUCGGAAAGACAAAACUACAUAUAUACAGUGGUAUAUCGCCUCUGGAGCUAUAGCUGGGAUUAUUUUUCUCUGUGUCGUAUCAUGGCUAACCUAUCUCAAGACAGCUAAAUCAAAAGGAAAAAAAUCACCCACAGAAUUUAACAGAUAUUAUGAUGUUGUUGGAAUGCCAGAAGAUGAAUGUUCUCCAUAUGCAACAAGUUGUGUCAGUGACAUGCAAAGAAGUGAGCACAUUUAUUGCCAUGUAGCGGGGACUUACGCAAAAGUCUCUGCCACAGAUAACAACAAGGCUUCUGGGACAGGACUGGAAGACAUACAUACAGUAUAUGCAUAUGCUGGUAAAUAA
rnacentral:lncRNA from 1 species